rfam:Capsicum annuum cultivar Zunla-1 chromosome 6, whole genome shotgun sequence
UUCCUUGUUGAUGUUGCCAGUAGUAAUAUGCUUUUCUUAAAGAUUAAGCCAUGCAUGUGUAAGUAUGAACAAAGGCAGACUGUGAAACUGCGAAUGGCUCAUUAAAUCAGUUAUAGUUUUUUUUAUGGUAUCUACUACUCGCAUAAACAUAGUAAUUCUAGAGUUAAUAUAUGUAAAAAAAACCAACUUCUGGAACGGUUGAAUUUAUUACAUAAAAUUUAGACAUGGUCUCUGCUCAUUGCUGCGAUGAAUCAUGAUAACUUAAUGGAUCGCACGACCAUUGUGCCAGCGACACAUCAUUCAAAUUUCUACCCUAUCAACUUUUGAUAAAGGAUAGUGGCCUACCAUGGUGAAGACGGGUGAUGGAGAAUUAAGGUUUGAUUUUAGAGAGGGAGCCUAAGAAAUGGCUACCACAUCCAAGGAAGGGAGAAGGCACGCAAAUUACCCAAUCUUGAUAUGGGGAGGUAGUGACAAUAAAUAACAAUACCGGGCUCAAUGAGCCUAGUAAUUGGAAUGAGUACAAUAUAAAUCCAUUAAUGAGGAUCCAUUGGAGGGAAAGUCUUAUGCCAUCUGGAAUGGUAAUUCCAUCUCCAAUAGCGUAUAUUUUAGUUAUGGCAGUUAAAAAGAUCGUAUUUGUACUUUGGGAUGGGCCAGUUGGUCCGCCUAUGGAGUACACCGAUCGUCUCAUCCCUUCUUUUAGUGAUGCGCUCCUGGUGUUAAUUUGAUGGGUCAUGCCUCAACCACUCUUACUUUGAAGAAAUUAGAGUGCCCAAAGCAAUACUACGCUAUGUAUACAUUAGCAUCAGAUAACAUUAUAGGAUUUCGGUGUUAUUAUGUUGGCCUUCAGGAUCGGAGUAACGAUUAAUAGGGACAGUCAGGGGCAUUCGUAUUUCAUAGUCAGAUGUGAAAUUCUUUGAUUUAUGAAAGACGAACAACUUCAAAUUCAUUAGCCAAGGAUGUUUUCAUUAAUCAAGAAUGGAAGUUGGGGGCUCAAAGACAAUUAGAUACAGUCCUAGUCUCAACCAUAAAUGAUGCCGACUAGGGAUCGGCAUAUGUUGCUUUGAGGACUUUGCCAACACUUUAUGAGAAAUCAAAGUUUUUGGGUUUUGGGGGGAGUAUGGUGGCAAGGCUAAAACACAAAGGAUUUGAUGGAAGGGAACCACCACGAGUGAAGUCUGUGGCUUAAUUUGACUCAAUACGGGGAAACUUACAGGUCCAGGCAUAGUAAGGAUUGACAGACUAAGAGCUGUUUCUUAAUUCUAUAGGUGGUGGUGCAUGGUCUUUCUUAGUUGGUGUAUCAAAUUGUCUAGUUAAUUUCAUUAACGAACGAGACCUCAGCAUGCUAACUAGCUACGCAGAGGUAUCCCUUCGCUGCCAGCUUCUUCGAAGGACUAAGACCUUUUAGGCCCCAGAAGUUUAAGGCAAUAACAGGUUUGUGAUGCCCUUAGAUGUUCUGGGCCGCACGCGUGCUACACUGAUGUAUUGAAUGAGUUUAUAGCCUUGGUUGAUAGGCCAAGAUAAUUUUUAAAUUUUAUCAUAAUGGGGAUAGAUCAUUGCAGUUAUUGUUCUUCAACAAAGAAUUCCUAGUAAGUGUGAGUCAUUAUCUCAUGUUGAGUAUAAUCCCUGCCCUUUGUACAUAUCGCCCGUCGCUCCUACCGAUUGAAUGAUUGGGAAAAUAUUUGUAUUAUGGUGAUGUGGGCAUUUUGCUGCAAGCGACGUUGUGAGAAGUCCAUUGAACAUUAUCAUUUAAAGGAAGGAGAAUUCGUAACAAGGAUUUUGUAGGUAAACCUGUGGAAAGAUCACUG